GCUGCUGUAGCUCAGCGGUAGAGCACUCCCUUGGUAAGGGAGAGGUCGAGAGUUCAAGUCUCUCCAGCAGCACCA
rnacentral:tRNA from 22 species